GAAGGGGGGAGGGGUAGCAUUGGGAGAUAUCCCUAAUGCUAGAUGACGAGUUAGUGGGUGCAGCGCACCAGCAUGGCACAUGUAUACAUAUGUAACUAACCUGCACAAUGUGCACAUGUACCCUAAAACUUAAAGUAUAAUAAAAAAAAAAAGAAGAUGUAAUGGUGUGUGAAUAUGGAAGUUUUCUGAUCAACUUUAUUUUCUCAGUGAAAUAGAAAAAAUAUCAGCUGAGAAUGGGGAUAGAGGAGGAGAGUUUGGAGACUGAAGUGGAAAGAAGAUAUAAAAUAGACAUUGAAGAGAGAGAGAGAGAGAAUAGAUUGUUCUAACUCUUAGGGAGUAAUUUCCUUGUAUUACAUCAUGCAUCUCCCAGAUAGAGAGAUCUCUUAUUUUCAUGAUGAAUCAAGUUCUCUCCAACAUUGAUACCUCUAUUCAUUAUUAAUGCAACAAUGAGUGCCAUAAAGAUACCUGUGAAUUUAAAUUGCAUAAUAUAUAAAAUGUUUUGUAGAUAUUGACUGCUUUUAUAAAAUAAAUAAUUCUAGGUACAUCACAAGAAAAUGUCUGAUAUUAAUUUGCUUCAAAAGUUCUCUGCCAAUUUCUCUCAUAUGCCUAUCUGAAUAUGGUCUGUAGACUCAAGAAGACAGCCUGUGAUGGGAAUAAUUAACAUGCUGGGCACAAGCAAGUCAUUUGAUCGAGUAGAGUUAGCCUCUAAUGCCCUCCACUGCUGACCCUCAGCUCCUCUUUUAGGAAGAGUAACCGCAUCCCCACUGCGGGUUCCACCCCUUCAUGUUUACAUAUUAUUAUAGAUAUUUGUUUCCAAUUUCUUCAUCCAUAUGUAGGUGCAAAUAACUAAUAAAACCUCAU
rnacentral:lncRNA from 1 species